AGGUGGGCCUAGAUAUGAAGGCUUUUUCCAACAUUUUGUGAUUCCUCACGGUAAUUAUAUUCAACUCAGUUCUACAAGGGCAAAUUGGUAUUGAAGAGCCCAGGCAGAAGACAAAUACUUGGUGUGAGAACCAUAUGGAUAGGAAGGAGUAACCUAGACCCAAGAUGCAAGUUCACGGAUUGCAAGACAGGAGGCCAAACACUGAAACAGCAUCUGACAAAAGUCUUCUUGAUACACAAUGAAUCCUGAUCUGGGAUGGAAAGUAAUUUUUGUGAACAUAUUUACAGAACUAUGUGUAAUAGAUCUAGCGAAGACUGAAGGCUUGUAAUAGCGACUGAUGUAGUACCAUGGAGAAAAGAAACCUGAACACUGCUCUCUGAGGAGGCCAAGUGAGGAGUGAGGUAAUAACAGGUUUCAUU